ensembl:lncRNA
UUAUCACAAGAUAAUUUAUUUACAUGAGUUUGUUUGAUUGGCACCAUUUUAAAUAAUCAUGCCUGGAUUCUGUCUCCCUUCCCUCAGCUUGGCCUCAGCUGAAAGAAAAGUUCUCUUGCUUGUGCUUUAACAUGGUUGAUCUGGGCGGGUCUGGAGGAGCUCUGGAAGUCUGUAAAGGAGCUUCUCCUCCUCUGUUGUGCUGUGUCAACCACCAAGUUGUGCCAGCCGAGAAUUGUGGUCUCAGGUCUCCAUCCAGAUCUUUGAUUGUGUGGCCACAUGGAUUCAGGCAGCUGAACACGAGCAUGGAGGCACAGGCUUUCCCUCUAAGGGUCUCAGGAAGACCACCAAACAUCAGAGGAAACCGAGGCUGAGGUCUACAUGCAACAGUCUUUGAAGAGCACGAGAACACACUGAGACCAGCAGAAAGGUAUAUAAAGUUUGUUAAGUUGAGAAACUCAGAUAAUCUGUCCGGCUGUGCCUAGCUCCUCUGGAUUUAAGGGACCUUCUUUUUCAUGGAAAGGAGUUUUUCUGGAGAUCAGCCUCUGAAGGUGGAGCCAAGGCCAUGAUCACAGGUCUCCUGUGUGAGAAGUCAUUUCCUGAUGCUCCCGGCAUUCUUCCAGAAACCCCUCUUUCCACUUUCUAAUGCUGCCAUAAUUACCUAUAGGUAACAAAAUAUUUUCUGCCCGUUCUUACUAGAAAAAUGUGUGAAGAGAGGGUAGAUAGGUUCUAACCCUUGGUCUAUGAUGUAGGCCGUUCUUGCAUUGCUAUAAAGAAAUACCUGAGACUGGGUAAUUUAUAAAGAAAAGAGGCUUAAUUGGCCAUGAUUCUGCAGGCUGUACAGGAAGCAUGGUGCUGGCAUCUACUCAGCUUUGGGAGGCCUCAAGGAGCUUUCACUCAUGGCAGAGGGUGAAGCGGGAGCUUGCCUGUCACAUGGUGAAAGCAGGAGCAAGAAAGAGAGGAGGGAGCUGCCACAUGUGUUUAAACAACCAGCUCUUGUGCGAACUCACUAUCAUGAGGACAGCAUCAAGCCAUGAGGGAUCCACCCCCAUGACCCAAACACCUCCCACUAGGCCCCAACUCUAAUAUUGGGGAUUACAUUUCCACAUGGGAUUUGGAGGGGAUAAAUGUCCAAACUAUAUCUGUCCAUUUGUAAACUACAUGAAAUUUAGUCUAUUGACUUUAUAGUGUCUCUUUGUCUUUCUGUAUUGCUUGGUUCUUGACUAUUUGUGGGGAUAGUUGAUGUCAUAAAACAAAUGAGUUAUCACAGUCUCUGGAACUGUUAUUGAAAUGAUUUUUGCCAGUAUUUUUCUAGGAAUAUAUGUCAAGUUUUUAUGCUUUCAUUUUAAAGACAUUUUCUUUGUUUUCUAAAGAUAAAUAUUACUUAACACUAUCAGCAACUUCAUUUUCCACUUCACUUCUUUAGGAGUUUUAAAAAAACACUGAUUAGUGGCACUAAAAUAGUUAUAUUAAAUGCUCUGAAAUGUAGCUCACCAGAGAAUGUAGAUGAAUAAUAUUUUUCUUAGUAAAAUAUGCUGUUUAAACUCCUCUUCCUCUCUCAUUUUUCUUAAUCCUUCUCUUUCCAUUUCCUCUCUAUUAGUAAUUGGACUCAUUAGACUCAGCUACCUCCUUCUCUUCUGUUCUUUAUCUGGUAUUUAGUUAACACUAUAUUCUAGGUGCUCACUGUAGGAACUUAUACUCUAGAAGGGAGGGCAAUGUACAGAAAUUCCAUAAUAAAACAGAAUAUGUGCUUAAAUGCUAUAAGAGUUAUAAAAUGUAUUAGGAGAGAUUCUUCAUUAAGGAGAGAUGAUUCUUGAUCGAGUGAUCAUAAUGGUGAUUAAUUAGCAGAGAACAAGUUUUUAGAAAUGUACACUCUAUGUAAAUUUGUUUACGUUUUUCUAGAUUCUGGAUAUUAGUCCUUUGUCAGAUGGAUAGAUUGCAAAAAUUUUCUCCCAUUCUGUAGGUUGUCUGUUCAUUCUGAUGACAGUUUCUUUUGCUGUGCAGAAGCUCUUUAGUUUAAUUAGAUCCCAUUUAUCAAUUUUGGCUUUUGUUGCCAUUGCUUUUGGUGUGUUAGUCAUGAAGUCUUUGCCCAUGCUUAUGUCCUGAAUGGUAUUGCCUAAGUUUUCUUCUGGGGUUUUUAUGGUUUUCAAUUUUACAUUUAAGUCUUUAAUCCAUCUUGAGUUAAUUUUU